GUCAGUUUUGCUGGGACAUAAAUUCACACUAGAAUGAUAGAGAAAAGAUUAGCAUGAACCUGGCACAAGGAUAACGCAAGAGGUCAAAUACUUAUCACACUUAC
rnacentral:snRNA from 7 species